rnacentral:rRNA from 1 species
GAUGAACGCUGGCGGUCUGCUUAACACAUGCAAGUCGAACGGACCCUUCGGAGGGAGCGGCGGACGGGUUAGUAACGCGUGGGAACGUGCCCAGAUCUAAGGAAUAGCCACUGGAAACGGUGAGUAAUACCUUAUACGCCCUUCGGGGGAAAGGAUUUAUCGGAUUUGGAUCGGCCCGCGUUAGAUUAGAUAGUUGGUGGGGGUAAGUGGCCUACCAAGUCUACGAUCUAUAGCUGGUUUUAGUAGGAUGAUCAGCAACACUGGGACUGAGACACGGCCAGACUCCUACGGGAGGCAGCAGUGGGGAAUCUUGGACAAUGGGCGCAAGCCUGAUCCAGCCAUGCCGCGU